AACUUAACCCGUAUUGGAAGGCGCUUCUCAAGUCAAAAAGUCUGUAAGUCAAGCCGUCUGUAAGUCAAGGGUCCACUGUAUAUCCACAGCUUUCUCACUCUGCUUCAACAAUGCAGGAGACAAAGUGGGCUCAUGCUCUGAAAGCUCGUACCCAGCUGGCCAAUAUUUAUAAUUAUUGUUAUGGUUGCAUUUUUAAUUUCCAAAACUGAUUAAUAUUUAAAAUGCUGUAUGUUUGGUUUUCUCUCCUUGCUUUGCCAGCAAAAUGCAGCCACCAUGACUCAAGUGAAAGAAGAGGAGCUGAUGGAUAAUGAAGGGAAGGAUGCAUUAAGCUGCAGCCAAAGUGCUGCCACCAGUAGUCAAACUGAAGAUGGAGAGCCAACAGUGAGCAGCAAGAAGGAGGAGUCCUUUUCCUCUAGCUGCAGUAUAUCGGAACUGCUGCUGGUCUAUGGAAACCUUAAAAAGGAUCAGGAAAAGCAUUUGACUCUUAUAGAGUCUCACGCAUCCCUUUUCCAUGCUAUUCAUUCAAUUGUAAAAUGUUACAAGAAGACUGCAGAACGUGGUAAAAGCAAUGUCUUGGGCAUCAAGGAGCUUCAUCACCCUUCCCUUGGCAGGCCUGAGAAGGAGGAUGUUGUAAAAGAAAAACCUGCUUCUCUAAAAGACAGACGAAAAGACAAAGGCACUUCCAUGCGUAUACAUUCCAAACACCUGCUUAUGUCAAAAAGCAAAAGUGUUAUUUUUCGAAUGCAGCAGAAACAUGGUCUUGAAGAAUUGCCUCCAGCCUAUUUGCUUCCUUAUGUGGUGUUAAUUAAGAACUGCAUUUCCUUGCCAGUCUCCACCAUCCAAAAACUAUGUGUCUCUGGGGAGAUACUGUGCAGGAUGGAGUAUUUUAUGUUGAGGUGCACAAAGAAGAAAUCAACUCUGCCUGAAUCAGCAGAAUUAAGUGUUCCUAAACUGCCAACAGUUAAAGAAGUGAAGUACGUCACUUUUGACAGCCUGAAGGAUUUACAGUGGAAGUUGUUCAAAGGUUUGUUAAAACGGAAGCCCAAAACAACUGGAGUGUGGAGGGAACCAACAUACAGUUUUGGAAUUGAAGGUGUAUCUGCUCCCAAGGAUGUAGAAUAUAUCUUCCCUUUGAUGCCUAAAGACUGGAUAAUUGAUGACUCUCUUAAGUUUUCAGAGGAAAUGAUGCACCUGCUUCUAGAAAAAGAAUGAAACUCAUGAACAGAGAGCCAGAACCUGGAGAAUAUUUGUCUAAAAUACAUUGAACAACUUCCAGUGUUAGUUUAGUAUUCCAAUUUUUAUGAGUAAUUUACUUGUGUAAUGCAUGAAGUGAACUAUUGUGUGAUGUUUCAGGCAACAGAUAUAUAGUUGUUUUUGAGGUCUCUGAAAGCACCCCUGAAAAAGGUGCCUCUAAAGAUCAGCAUUUUUUUAUUUAGUGAUAAAAAGAAAAAUCCCAUUGAAAGACAGAAACUGUUUGCUUUAAUUGUUGUGCAGCACUCUUGUGCUGCCAGACUUCAAUAGUGAACUGCUACAAUGCAUGUGAAACAAAUAAUAUGCUUGUUUGAACCUGUUUUCCCCCUGUUGCUGCUGAAUUUUGGUGGCAUACAGGUAUGAUCCAAAUACAGGUGGGGUGCCAGAAUUGGGCCUUGUGUCCAUCAAAGAUGCCUACCCACCUCCAGUAUAAAGCACCUGGGUGCCUUUUAAUAGAUUUCAGAGAGGUGUACAUGUUAAUCUGUUCCAUCAACAAAAUCAGAAAUCUCCAAGAUUCUCAGUUAUGUUUCAGCCUGGAUCACAAAAAAUGCAAUACAAAACAAAACAAACUCCAAAGUAUUGCAGCAUCUUCAAGACUAAUACAUUUAUUAGAGGCUGAAUACUCAAAAGCUUAAUUUUUUUUAAUUUUGGGGUUAGAAAAGUGGGGGGCAUCUUAUAAAUGGGGGCAUCUUAUAAAUGGAAAAAAUACAGUACUCGAUUUAUUUUGUCAUUUCUUUUGUUUUUGUGUGUAUUUUGUCAUCUGCUUAGAACACACAGGUGAUAUACAGAUUAAUCUAAAGGACAGCAGGGAGGCUUGCAUUACAGACAGGCAUGUCUCUAAUGAAGGCCUCAGAAUAAAAAUUGUGGAAGCCAAGACA
ensembl:lncRNA uncharacterized LOC110085553